GGGCUUUGUUUGCGCAGGAUAGGUGGGAGGCGUUGAAAAUUUUCUUGCGGGAAUUUUGGAGCCAUUGGUGAGAUACCACUCUAACAAUGCUAGGAUUCUAACCCUAUACCGUUAUCCGGUUAGGGGACAGUUUCAGGUGGUCAGUUUGACUGGGGCGGUCGCCUCCUAAAAGGUAACGGAGGCGUGCAAAGGUUUCCUCAGACUGGUUGGAAAUCAGUCGAAGAGUGUAGAGGCAUAAGGAAGCUUGAUUGUGAGACUUACAAGUCGAACAAAGACGAAAGUCGGCCUUAGUGAUCCGACGGUUCCGAGUGGAAGGGCCGUCGCUCAACGGAUAAAAGUUACUCUAGGGAUAACA
rnacentral:rRNA from 1 species